ensembl:lincRNA
GGGCCUGGCCUGCGCUCCCAGCCUCUCUGCCCAGGCUGCUGCGGGCCGGAUACCUGCCUCGCCCAGCUUCCACUGUGCCAGCGUCGGGGAAUCCGAAGCCACAGAGAAGCUCCGGGUCGUCCUGGGACGCACAUGCCUUCCCCACCAUACUGCCUUGCCUGUUCUGGGCUUGCUCGGAAUAGCCACCCCUUUGGGACUUAUUACCCGAGGCUGCCUCCCUCACUGCGGAAACAUUGACCUCGGGAUCCCCACACUCAGCACAAGGCCAAGAACUCAGGACAGGCUGGCCUGGAAUACCACCAUCCUUCCCAGUGCUGUGAGGAUCUUGUUGUUAUCAUCCUUUUUCACAGAUGAAGAAACACCGAGGCUUGGUGAGCAGCAGGUGAUGACCAAGGGACUGUAUAAGAGAAAGAACGUGGAUGGGUCCAUCCAUACCCAGAGCUGUGAGCACCCUAAUUGCAGAUUGGAUACAAGAGCAUCCUGUUUCCCCACCUGCUGGACCUGCAAAACCAAACUGGGUUCCAGUAGGCGGCCCCUUGCUUUUGUUACCUUCCUCAGAAACCUUGCAACCAGCCUCCACCCAAGGCCACCUCUCAUAACUUUUAAUAAGAGGUAAUAGCACCAAGCAGCAGGCAUCAGCUUCAUUUUUAAUUAUCUAAUUUACAUUUAAUUUUCCCCACCAAUGUAUGCAGUUUAUUAAUGUUUUACCUAAGAGCACCCUUUCACAGUCUGGAAAUGCCUUCACAAAACUAAUGGGCAUUGGUUCUCUUGGAAGAAUGAUCUCAUUCAGAGUAGACCCAAGCUGGGGUCUCAGGCCACAACACCCAACAACCAACAGUUCUUAGCACUUUUUGUUGUUUGUUUGUUUGUUUGUUUGUUUUUUUGAGACAAGGUUUCUCUGUGUAGCCCCUGCUUUACUGGAACUCACUCAGAGAUCCUCCUGCCUCUGCCUCCCAAGUGCUGAAGUGCUGGGAUUAAAGGUGUGUGCCACCACUGCCCGGCUUGCACUAGAAUAACUAACGGACAAAUACCCCAGAAUUCUUUGAGAACACGUCUCUUCCCGGCUAGUCUCCAGAAAUAAAGAACACGAUGCCAUGUUUAUGGGACUUAGGUCUAUGCAUCUACUUUUUUUUUUUCCAGACAGGGUCCUGACUGUGUAGACACGGCUCACAUUGAUUCUCCUGCCUCCUGAGUGUGAGUGUUGAAGCACCCUUGCUCCCUAGUUUAGUAGUAUGCUGGAGAAGGGUUGCUCUGAUUCAGGGCACAGCCACUUAAGAGUAAGAGCAGAUUGGCACUUGGGAGACAGAGGUAGAUGGAUCUUUGUGAGUUCCAAGCCAGCCUGGUCUACAGAGUGAGUUUCAGGCUGUUACACAGAAAAAUCCUGUCUCAAACUAGCAAGACUGAGAGCUUCAAGGAAGGCCUUGGAGAUGGGCAUCCAGGACCCUGACUUCCAUCCCCAAGCCUCUGCAUUUCUGUGCAGCUUCUUUAUUUCAUAAAAAUGAAAACUGAGGCUCAGAGAAGCCAAAAGACUACCCCAAGAUCACACAGCAAAUUGGGGAUAGAGGAGGAAGUAGAGCCCAUAUUUUGGUCUCAUCCAAAUAGUUAUAAGGUCCAGGCUGGGCUUGGGUAAGUGCAAGCAUGUUCCAUGUGAAUGCAUGUGUGUCUGCGUGCAUGAGUGAGAGAGAGAGUGUGUGUGUGUGUGUGUGUGUGUGUG